UUUUAACAAGAGCUACAAACCUGCUACUGGGCCCUUCUUCGCCCCCUUUUUGUAUGACUAGAAAGAUAUGAGAGAGGAGAUCCACUGAAAGCCUUUACUCUCCCAAGAAUUCGGCCUUCCACAAGAGAGAGAAACGUGCCUCAUGGCUGAGGUAUCAGCCCUGUUGGCUUAAUACUGUUUCCCCACAGGGCCAAGUCAGUGGACAAACAAAGGAACAUUUUCUUCAAUCAUGAUUUCAUAGCAAGCAAAGCUUAGGGAAAAAAAAGUCCGAAACUCAUUAUUCUUCAACUUUGAGAACAUCUAUAUGGGGCCCACAGGACUACACGGAGCAAAAGCCUGAUGUAUUCAAUAGCACUGUAGAGAAACAGAACCUUGGAGGCUUUAUGGGGCCUUGUCUCUACUACUGACAGAAUAAAAUUAAAAAGAGACCCAGUGCCUUGAUUUUUUUUUAAGCUAGACCUACCUUAUGAAGGAAAUCCUCCUGCAACUUCAGGAUGAUCCGAGAACUGUUUUCUCUGUUCCCUGGUCCACAGUGAGACCAAACCUAAAAAGAAUAAUUACCUUUCCCUCACUGGAAAUCAACAAAUUUGUUUUUUUUUUUGUUUUCUGUUUAGUGAUUGAGCAAUGUUAUAGAAUUUCAGGCCUGUGGAAGGAAUUGAAAAGUGGUGGAUAGAGGAAUGUGUGUCUGAAAAUUCCCAUCAGAUUGAACACCGAGAUCCACUGUGCGCAGCUUUCAAACUGCAUUAAAUUGGGUAGACAUCCCACUGCUUCCUGGGUCCAUGCAAACAGAAAGUCCAAGUUUUAUACAAUUAGGCGGGAGGGUGUUCCAUUCAGAAAAGUCCAUAGUAGUGUUUCUCUGCUCUCUCAGUUCAUGCCAACCUAGGGUAGAAACGAGGCUACAGUGAGACAGAAAGGGGGAUUCUUCAUAAGGUAUCCCUACAAAGUCACCUUUCCCAUAAAAAAGAGGAAAAAUAGAGACUAAAAUAAGCCAGGACUCUCAUAUGCAACUGUGGCUUCCAAGUACAACUCUUUCUCCCUCCAGUCAUGUAGUCGCCCACAGACUGGCUUUUAAAAGCUAGGUUUGGCUGCUGAGUGGGAAGUGAGCCGUUCCCAAAGACGCUUCGAGCCCCUCUCUUGAUCACUUCAGAAAGUGUUCCGUUCCAUAUGCAGAACUAUUUACUAGUGCAACAUAAAACAAAGCCUGUUGUCUAUACCCUCACUUUCUGUAGUCUUCCCUGUUCUUUUAUGAUUAUCAAGUCAUCUGUUCAUACGUUCUAAAGAUACAUUAUGUGAAAUCAUAGUUUGGCAUAUGGGAAUGGAGAGUGAAUUCUUUACAAACUUUUUAAAAUAAUCCCAUUUAUAUCACCGAAGACAUUUUGGAUGUUAUUGUAUAUGAGUAUAUAAAUUUUUCAUGUUUUAUUUUGCAUUGGAAUAAAGCUUUAUUCAGUCAGUGAG
rnacentral:lncRNA from 1 species